rnacentral:rRNA from 1 species
UACGUAGGGGGCGAGCGUUGUCCGGAGUUUCUGGGCGUAAAGCGCUUGUAGGCGGUCCACCAAGUUUGGGGUGACAGUUGCCGACUUAAUCGGCAAAGUGCCUCAAAGACUGGCGGACUUGAGGGCCACAGAGGGACAUGGAACUCCAGGUGUAGUGGUGAAAUGCGUAGAUAUCUGGAAGAACACCAAAGGCGAAGGCAGUGUCCUGGGUGGUCGCUGACGCUGAGAGGCGAAAGCCAGGGGAGCGAACGGG